rnacentral:rRNA from 1 species
GGAAGUAAAAGUCGUAACAAGGUUUCCGUAGGUGAACCUGCGGAAGGAUCAUUAACGAAUAACUAUGGCGUUGGUUGUAGCUGGCUCCUCGGAGCAAUGUGCACGCCCGCCAUUUUUAUCUUUCCACCUGUGCACCGACUGUAGGUCUGGAUACCUCUCGCCUCCGGGCGGAUGCGAGGGUUGCUCGUAAGGGCUUCCCUUGAACUUCCAGGCUCUACGUCUUUUUACACACCCCAAUAGUAUGAUGCAGAAUGUAGUCAAUGGGCUUCUCAAGCCUAUAAAACACUAUACAACUUUCAGCAACGGAUCUCUUGGCUCUCGCAUCGAUGAAGAACGCAGCGAAAUGCGAUAAGUAAUGUGAAUUGCAGAAUUCAGUGAAUCAUCGAAUCUUUGAACGCACCUUGCGCUCCUUGGUAUUCCGAGGAGCAUGCCUGUUUGAGUGUCAUUAAAUUCUCAACCUCACCAGUUUUCUGAACUGACUGAGGCUUGGAAGUGGGGGUUUGUGCAGGCUGCCUCACCGGCGGUCUGCUCCCCUGAAAUGCAUUAGCGAGGUUCAUGCUGGACCUCCGUCUAUUGGUGUGAUAAUUAUCUACGCCGUGGACGAGGAUACAGACUCGCUUCUAACCGUCCGCGAGGACAAUACCUUGACAAUUUGACCUCAAAUCAGGUAGGACUACCCGCUGAACUUAAGCAUAUCAAUAAGCGGAGGA